rnacentral:rRNA from 1 species
CAAUAGCGUAUAUUAAAGUUGUUGCAGUUAAAAAGCUCGUAGUUGGAUUUCUGGUUGAAGCGACCGGUCGGGCGUUGAUUCAUCUGCACUGGAGUCGGUUUUGGCCAUCCUCUAGGAAAGUGCGUCUGGUAUUAAGUUAUCGGGCGUAUGAUCCUGGUCUUUUACUGUGAAAAAAUUAGAGUGUUUAAAGCAGGCCUUCGCCUUGAAUACAUUAGCAUGGAAUAAUAAGAUAGGACUUUGGUCUAUUUUGUUGGUUUGCAGACCGAAGUAAUGAUUAAUAGGGAUAGUUGGGGGUAUUUAUAUUCCGAUGUCAGAGGUGAAAUUCUUAGAUUUUCGGAAGAUAAACUUAUGCGAAAGCAUUUACCAAGGAUGUUUNCAUUA